UCUGUGAAAUGAAUGAUCUUGUUUGAACAAGAAUUUCAUUCUUAGAUGUUGGUUGUUCCUAUGCAUUGAACUACUUGUUUCAUGUUCAAGAGAGCAUGCUCCUAUGCUCUAUUGAACUGCAGAGUUUUGCGUUUUUCUGGUCAGGCUGCAACUGCUUUGUCUUCAUAGGGAGCACGAUGCCAUGAACCUGCAGUAAUCCACAGGAGCCCUUUUACAUCACUCAGGGUACCUUCAAAAAGUGUCCUUGAAAUCUAAUUUCUUUCUCUCUUAGGAACCUUAGAAGUCACCUGCAGUGACCUAGAAGAGAAUAUGCCUUAACAUAUAGAAGCUUGGGUCCAUGGCUGCCUAGGUGCCAAAUGAUCAGGUGUUUCAAAGCAGCCUGGAAAAGAACAGGAGGAUUGCUCCUGUUGCUGAAGGUCUCCAGGACAGGACACACUGUCUCCCUCCUGUGCUAG
rnacentral:lncRNA from 1 species